rnacentral:lncRNA from 1 species
CCUGGAACACAUUUAUGCAUUGAUGUGGAAGAUGCAGUUUUUUUCCUGGCAGAAGAAGUUGUCCUCAACUAUCAGUAGGUUUUUAGAGAUGAACAUCACUCGAAAACUAUGGAGUCGAACUUUCAACUGUUCAGUCCCUUGCAGUGACACAGUGCCUGUAAUUGCUGUUUCUGUGUUCAUUCUCUUUCUACCUGUUGUCUUCUACCUUAGUAGCUUUCUUCACUCAGAGCAAAAGAAACGCAAACUCAUUCUGCCCAAACGUCUCAAGUCCAGUACCAGUUUUGCAAAUAUUCAGGAAAAUUCAAACUGAGACCUACAAAAUGGAGAAUUGACAUAUCACGUGAAUGAAUGGUGGAAGACACAACUUGGUUUCAGAAAGAAGAUAAACUGUGAUUUGACAAGUCAAGCUCUUAAGAAAUACAAGGACUUCAGAUCCAUUUUUAAAUAAGAAUUUUCGAUUUUUCUUUCCUUUUCCACUUCUUUCUAACAGAUUUGGAUAUUUUUAAUUUCCAGGCAUAGCAAUGUUAUCUAUUUUAAUGUGUAUUUGUCACAAUAACAGAACAUGCAAGAACAAUCAUUAUUUUAUUUUAUAGGCAUUUGAUUACUAUUCUAGACUUCUGGUAUCUUCUUACUAACAUAAAUAUCUCAAGUAGAAAAGUUUUUGAAAACUAACAUUUAAAAAUUAAUCAGUUACAGUAAAGACUUUGAAAAAGAAA